GGGCUCAUAGCUCAGCUGGCUAGAGCGCACCCCUGAUAAGGGUGAGGUCGGAGGUUCGAGUCCUCUUGGGCCCA
rnacentral:tRNA from 2 species